rnacentral:rRNA from 1 species
UGGCGCACGGGUGCGUAACGCGUGGGAAUCUGCCCUUGGGUUCGGAAUAACAGUUGGAAACGACUGCUAAUACGGGAUGAUGUCGUAAGUCCAAAGAUUUAUCGCCCAAGGAUGAGCCCGCGUAGGAUUAGCUAGUUGGUGAGGUAAAGGCUCACCAAGGCGACGAUCCUUAGCUGGUCUGAGAGGAUGAUCAGCCACACUGGGACUGAGACACGGCCCAGACUCCUACGGGAGGCAGCAGUAGGGAAUAUUGGGCAAUGGGCGAAAGCCUGAUCCAGCAAUGCCGCGUGAGUGAUGAAGGCCUUAGGGUUGUAAAGCUCUUUUACCCGAGAUGACAAUGACAGUACCGGGAGAAUAAGCCCCGGCUAACUCCGUGCCAGCAGCCGCGGUAAU